CUGCUGCCUUCCGUAGGAGUUUGGGCCGUGUCUCAGUCCCAAUGUGGCCGGUCACCCUCUCAGGCCGGCUACUGAUCGUCGCCUUGGUAGGCCGUUACCCCACCAACUAGCUAAUCAGACGCGGGUCCAUCCCAUAUCGGUAGCAUUGUAAAGAGGCCACCUUUCCUCACCGGAAGAUGCCUUCCAAUGAGAGUAUCCGGUAUUAGCAGUCGUUUCCCAACUGUUGUCCCGGUUUAUGGGGCAGGUUACCCACGUGUUACUCACCCGUCCG
rnacentral:rRNA from 1 species